AUUUAAAUAUAUAUACAAAGCAGAUCUUCUUCACCAGGAAAAGCUGAUGGACAGUCAUCUGAAAACCAGCAGAGGAAUUCACUGUGGACACGUCUUGGUAAGACAAUCCUUCAGCUAAUGCCUGAAUGAAGCGCACCAAGACACUGGUAAUUGAGCAUGGAGUUCAUCUGAAGUAACUUUCCUAUGGAAAUUGGUGUGGGCAGUCACUGGAAGAAAGAUGCUUCUUUGAGAGUCGGUUUCCUGUUGUUUCCACAUGAGGACAGAGUGCUGGAAGUCAUUUAUUGCUUCUGGUCCAGGACACAGGGUGAUCGCCUGCAGCGAUGAGGAAGGAACCAACUGUAAGUGCAUUGCAGUUCUACAUAAGUAGCUACAUUUCAGCUGUCACUGAAAAAAUUAUGCCUCUGAAAGUUCUGAAAAGUUGGAAAAUGUCUGUUUAUAGGAUACAGUACUAGAAUCUUGCUUGGCAUGGCAAGCAACGUACUGUGGUUUUCUGGUUUGAAAAUAAUGGUCCUUAAGUAGCCCUACAGCCAUCCUGUUCCAUCUCCCCCCUCUUACCCAACUGAUCUCCACGUUUAUUCCCCUUGCUGCAAGACAAA
rnacentral:lncRNA from 1 species